rnacentral:rRNA from 1 species
UGGCUCAGGAUGAACGCUGACUAAAUGCUUAACACAUGCAAGUCUACUUGAACUUCGGUUUGUGUGGGGGACCGAUGAUGGACACCGGAACAACUUGGCUCAACGUUUAUGACAACUUUUGAUAACCAAUGCAUAUCCCUGAUAUUAUGAUUUUAAGGCCUCCUGUGAUCAUGAAAUGUAUUUGCCCUGUGACAGAGCGUUGCGUCCCAUUAGCUGGUUAGAGAGGUAACUACUCACCUGGGCGAUGAUGGGUCCCCGGCCUGAGAGGGUGAACGGGGUUCAGGGGACUGAGUCCCGGCCCUUACUCCUACGGGAGGCAGCAGAGGGGAAUAUUGGGCAAUGGACCAAAAGUCUGAUCCAUGGGUUCUGUGUGCACGAUGACGUUUUUCGUGAAUGUACGACGGUUCUAUGUGUUAAGAACUGCUUGACUGCACCAACAGAUUAAGUGACGUGUGGAUACUUGCCAGCAUUGCAUGAAAUACGAAUGUCUCAUUCGUUGUCAGGAUUCAUUGUGAUUCAGGCGGGUCUGGGUGGAUAUGUAUUUCUGAUGUGUAAAUGCAGGGCUCAACUCUGUUUUGCGUUGUAGACUGUGUCACUAGAGCACUGUAUGAGUUGCGCGACUACUGGUGUGGCUUGUGAAUGCUGUAGAUAUGCGUGAGUAUGCGGUGUGGCGAUGCCAGUGUUACUGAUACAGAUACUGACGCCCGAUCGCGAAAGCGUGUGACUGCAAACUUGACUGACUCUCAU